AGAGUUUGAUCCUUUCUCAGGAUGAACGCUGGCGGCGUGCCUAACACAUGCAAGUCGAGCGAUUCUCUUCGGAGAAGAGCGGCGGACGGGUGAGUAACGCGUGGGUAACCUGCCCUGUACACACGGAUAACAUACCGAAAGGUAUGCUAAUACGGGAUAAUAUAUAAGAGUCGCAUGACUUUUAUAUCAAAGAUUUUUCGGUACAGGAUGGACCCGCGUCUGAUUAGCUUGUUGGCGGGGUAACGGCCCACCAAGGCGACGAUCAGUAGCCGACCUGAGAGGGUGAUCGGCCACAUUGGAACUGAGACACGGUCCAAACUCCUACGGGAGGCAGCAGUGGGGAAUAUUGCACAAUGGGCGCAAGCCUGAUGCAGCAACGCCGCGUGAGCGAUGAAGGCCUUCGGGUCGUAAAGCUCUGUCCUCAAGGAAGAUAAUGACGGUACUUGAGGAGGAAGCCCCGGCUAACUACGUGCCAGCAGCCGCGGUAAUACGUAGGGGGCUAGCGUUAUCCGGAUUUACUGGGCGUAAAGGGUGCGUAGGCGGUCUUUCAAGUCAGGAGUUAAAGGCUACGGCUCAACCGUAGUAAGCUCCUGAUACUGUCUGACUUGAGUGCAGGAGAGGAAAGCGGAAUUCCCAGUGUAGCGGUGAAAUGCGUAGAUAUUGGGGGGAACACCAGUAGCGAAGGCGGCUUUCUGGACUGUAACUGACGCUGAGGCACGAAAGCGUGGGGAGCAAACAGGAUUAGAUACCCUGGUAGUCCACGCUGUAAACGAUGAGUACUAGGUGUCGGAGGUUACCCCUUUCGGUGCCGCAGCU
rnacentral:rRNA from 1 species